CCACCUCCUCCGUCGGACUAAUUAUUUCGCUGGCUAGGCUUUUCCUUCUCCUUCUCGGGUUAUGGGCAUUACAGGUAUUUUAAAGGAACAUAUGCACACAGGAGAGAAACUAUAUUUAUGUCAAGUGUGUGAAAAAUCAGAGGAAACCAUGCUUUAAAGAGACAUAUGCUUAUUCACACAGGAGAGAAAUCUCAUGUAUGUAAUAUAUGUGAAGUCUCAUUUAGAGAAAAGUUUGAUUUAAAAAAUCAUAUGUUUAUCCAUACUGGAGAGAAACUUCAUGAGUGCAAUGUAUGUCAAAAGUCAUUUGCACAAAAGGGUGUAUUAAACAUUCAUAUGUUUCUUCACAGAGAAGCGAAUUCGCACAUAUGUGAGAAUGAAAAACCAAUUUGGAUGUAGGUUCCCAUCCUGGUGCUUCCAACAGCUUCUUCAGAUGCAUCUACAAACACAUAAUUACAUAUGUAAGAUAUAAUAAAAUAUGAUGGCUAUGUUAAGAAA